rnacentral:lncRNA from 1 species
CCUGAAACUACAACUUGCAACUGGACUAAAUUUUUUUCCUAAAAAUUUUUUGUUUUCAAUUUAAAGACAAGUGGUAAGAAAGCAUCUUAAAAUGUAUGAAUAAAUCUGAAUAACUAGUUCAAUGUAAGAUUUUUUUUCUGUAGUUUUACUGCCCCAGUCCAUUUUCCAGGGAAGUGUUGCAGGGCUUUUAAGAAUAGAACAGUCUUUCCUAAAGUGGUGCUAAGAGUCUGAAUUUCUCUAGUUCUGAUGAGUUGCUGCAAACUCUACUGAAGGGAAAAGUAAAGAAUUGGGCUUUUUCAUGUAUAUUUUCCAAUUUAAGGAAGAAAUAAAAAUUAAGUAUAUGUAUUUGAAAUUUAAGUAUAUAAAAUACACGUGUGUGUCUUUUUAAAAAAGUUGUUGUGUCAUGAAAUGUCUCUU